rnacentral:rRNA from 1 species
UACGUAGGCAGCGAGCGUUGUUCGGAAUUACUGGGCGUAAAGAGUGUGUAGGCGGUGCUCUAAGUUCGGUGUGAAAUCUCCUGGCUCAACUGGGAGGGUGCGCCGGAAACUGGGAUGCUUGAGCGUGGGAGAGGAAAGCGGAAUUCCUGGUGUAGCGGUGAAAUGCGUAGAUAUCAGGAGGAACACCUGUGGUGUAGACGGCUUUCUGGACCAUAGCUGACGCUGAGACACGAAAGCGUGGGUAGCAAACAGG